rnacentral:rRNA from 1 species
UACAGAGGUCUCAAGCGUUGUUCGGAUUCAUUGGGCGUAAAGGGUGCGUAGGUGGCGCCGUAAGUCAGGUGUGAAAUUUCGGAGCUUAACUCCGAAACUGCAUUUGAUACUGCGGUGCUUGAGGACGGGAGAGGAGACUGGAAUUUACGGUGUAGCAGUGAAAUGCGUAGAGAUCGUAAGGAAGACCAGUGGCGAAGGCGGGUCUCUGGACAGUUCCUGACACUGAGGCACGAAGGCCAGGGGAGCAAACGGG